UACAGAGGUCCCAAGCGUUGUUCGGAUUCACUGGGCGUAAAGGGUGCGUAGGUGGUGGGGUAAGUCGGAUGUGAAAGCUCGGAGCUUAACUCCGAAAUUGCAUUGGAAACUACCCUGCUAGAGGGUCGGGAGGGGGGGACUGGAAUACUUGGUGUAGCAGUGAAAUGCGUAGAUAUCAAGUGGAACACCAGUGGCGAAGGCGAGUCCCUGGACGACUCCUGACACUGAGGCACGAAAGCUAGGGGGAGCAAACAGG
rnacentral:rRNA from 1 species